AACGUAGGUGGCAAGCGUUAUCCGUAAUUACUGGGCGUAAAGGGUGUGCAGGCGGGGAAGCAAGUGGGGUAUGAAAUCUCCAGGCUUAACCUGGAGGGGUUAUGCCAGACUGCAUCUCUAGAGGACGAGAGAGGGGGGUGGAAUUCCGGGUGUAGUGGUGAAAUGCGUAGAGAUCCGGAGGAACCCCAGAGGCGAAGGCGGCCCCCUGGCUCGUACCUGACGCUCAGCCACGAAAGCAUGGGGAGCGAACGGG
rnacentral:rRNA from 1 species